rnacentral:rRNA from 1 species
GUGAACGCUGCGGUAGGCCUAACACAUGCAAAUCGAACGGCAGCACAGUAAGAGCUUGCUCUUACGGGUGGCGAGUGGCGGACGGGUGAGGAAUACAUCGGAAUCUACUUUUUCGUGGGGGAUAACGUAGGGAAACUUACGCUAAUACCGCAUACGACCUACGGGUGAAAGCAGGGGAUCUUCGGACCUUGCGCGAUUGAAUGAGCCGAUGUCGGAUUAGCUAGUUGGCGGGGUAAAGGCCCACCAAGGCGACGAUCCGUAGCUGGUCUGAGAGGAUGAUCAGCCACACUGGAACUGAGACACGGUCCAGACUCCUACGGGAGGCAGCAGUGGGGAAUAUUGGACAAUGGGCGCAAGCCUGAUCCAGCCAUACCGCGUGGGUGAAGAAGGCCUUCGGGUUGUAAAGCCCUUUUGUUGGGAAAGAAAAGCAGCAGGUUAAUACCCCGCUGUUCUGACGGUACCCAAAGAAUAAGCGCCGGCUAACUUCGUG